rnacentral:rRNA from 1 species
UACGUAGGGUGCAAGCGUUGUCCGGAAUUAUUGGGCGUAAAGAGCUCGUAGGCGGUUUGUUGCGUCGGCUGUGAAAUCCCGAGGCUCAACCUCGGGUCUGCAGUCGAUACGAGCAAACUAGAGUGUUGCAGGGGAGACUGGAAUUCCUGGUGUAGCGGUGAAAUGCGCAGAUAUCAGGAGGAACACCGGUGGCGAAGGCGGCAUCCUGGACCAACAUUGACGCUGAGGAGCGAAAGCUAGGGGAGCAAACGGG